rnacentral:rRNA from 1 species
UACGUAGGGUGCAAGCGUUGUCCGGAAUUAUUUGGGCGUAAAGAGCUCGUAGGCGGUUCGUCGCGUCGGCUGUGAAAUCCCGAGGCUCAACCUCGGGUCUGCAGUCGAUACGGGCGAACUGGAGUUCGGCAGGGGAGACUGGAAUUCCUGGUGUAGCGGUGAAAUGCGCAGAUAUCAGGAGGAACACCGGUGGCGAAGGCGGGUCUCUGGGCCGAUACUGACGCUGAGGAGCGAAAGCGUGGGGAGCGAACAGG